CCUCCCAUCGCUGCAUGGAAGCACCGCCCCACCUCUCCCAGGCGCGCGACCAUGACCCUCAACGUCGUCGUCUUCCUCUUCCAACCAUCGGCAAUAGCUUCUGCGCCGCCAUCCUUGGGAGACUCAUCUUACCCUCCUAGGGACGACACCCAUGUUCUCCUACCUUCAGCCGCCACCGUCCUCCACCUGGCCACAACCCUCCCUACCACCUUGCUAAGGCCGCCACCUCCAUGGCCACCAGCAGAUCUCUGUCGGGCUUCCACUCUAGGUGUGGUCCCGGCCACCCCCGCCACCCCUGCUCUUCACUGCGCCAUGGCUUCGUGCCCCAGCUGCUUCAGCGUGGAGGACGCCCGGACCUCUCCCUGUGUGGCCAUCGCGUCGGGCGCGGCGGCGGACG
rnacentral:misc_RNA from 1 species